ACUUCCUGUGAGGGAAAGAACAGGUUUAGAGGUGGCAUCAUACUGAAAACAUGUUUUUGUGUUUUACAAUACAUUCCCUCAGUGUGCCACUGCCUGGUUAUGGUAACGUCAGCUCUUUAACUGGCUGAGCUGAGUGCAUAAUGUGUGCUACUGUUCUGACCUGAUGUGUGGCCCAGGCCUGCCGUAAACCUACACCAGGGAUAUGACUUCAUGUGUGCUUCUACUGGUAAUCAUGUACUCUAUUCUAUCUUGACAUUCCAGCUCUGUGUGGUAAGUAGGACAUAUACUGACACCAUGGUUUCCUGUAAGGAUGGUGUCAUGACAUAAAAGGCAAACCAAUGAGGAUAACAGGAAAACACUUCAUUUAUCCGUGCUCUUACAGCAUGGAGGGGUGGAGGCAACAUCCACAUGUCUCUACCAGGGAUCUUUCUCAUAGGUUUACUAUUGGCUGGGUGGAGAUCAUUUUCCAGCUGAAGUAGCCUACAGCAGGUGAGUGAAUGGCCUAUUGAAUUGUUCUGUGUCAGGUGUCAGACAUACAUUCUGUGUUAGGUGUCAGACAUACGUUCUGUGUUAGGUGUCAGACAUACGUUCUGUGUUAGGUGUCAGACAUACGUUCUGUGUCAGGUGUCAGACAUAUGUUCUGUGUUAGGUGUCAGACAUACGUUCUGUGUCAGACAUACGUUCUGUGUUAGGUGUCAGACAUACGUUCUGUGUCAGGUGUCAGACAUACGUUCUGUGUUAGGUGUCAGACAUACGUUCUGUGUCAGACAUACGUUCUGUGUUAGGUGUCAGACAUACGUUCUGUGUCAGGUGUCAGACAUACGUUCUGUGUCAGACACGUUCUGUGUCAGGUGUCAGACAUACGUUCUGUGUCAGGUGUCAGACAUACGUUCUGUGUCAGGUGUCAGACAUACGUUCUGUGUCAGGUGUCAGACAUACGUUCUGUGUCAGGUGUCAGACAUACGUUCUGUGUCAGGUGUCAGACAUACGUUCUGUGUUAGGUGUCAGACAUACGUUCUGUGUCAGACAUGCGUUCUGUGUCAGGUGUCAGACAUACGUUCUGUGUCAGGUGUCAGACAUACGUUCUGUGUUAGGUGUCAGACAUACGUUCUGUGUCAGACAUACGUUUUGUGUCAGGUGUCAGACAUACGUUCUGUGUCAGACAUACGUUCUGUGUUAGGUGUCAGACAUACAUUCUGUGUCAGACAUACGUUCUGUGUCAGACAUACGUUCUGUGUUAGGUGUCAGACAUACAUUCUGUGUCAGACAUACGUUCUGUGUCAGGUGUCAGACAUACGUUCUGUGUUAGGUGUCAGACAUACGUUCUGUGUCAGACAUACAUUCUGUGUUAGGUGUCAGACAUACGUUCUGUGUCAGGUGUCAGACAUACAUUCUGUGUCAGGUGUCAGACAUACGUUCUGUGUCAGGUGUCAGAGAUACGUUCUGUGUUAGGUGUCAGACAUAUGUUCUGUGUCAGACAUACGUUCUGUGUUAGGUGUCAGACAUACGUUCUGUGUUAGGUGUCAGACAUACGUUCUGUGUCAGGUGUCAGACAUACGUUCUGUGUCAGACGUACGUUCUGUGUCAGACAUACGUUCUGUGUUAGGUGUCAGACAUACAUUCUGUGUUAGGUGUCAGACAUACGUUCUGUGUUAGGUGUCAGACAUACGUUCUGUGUGAGGUGUCAGACAUACUUUCUGUGUCAGACAUACGUUCUGUGUCAGACAUACGUUCUGUGUUAGACAUACGUUCUGUGUUAGGUGUCAGACAUACGUUCUGUGUCAGACAUACGUUCUGUGUUAGGUGUCAGACAUACGUUCUGUGUCAGACAUACGUUCUGUGUUAGGUGUCAGACAUACGUUCUGUGUCAG
rnacentral:lncRNA from 1 species